rnacentral:rRNA from 1 species
UCGAGAAUAGUCUACAAUGGACGAAAGUCUGAUAGUGCGACGCCGCGUGAACGAAGAAGCCCUUCGGGGUGUAAAGUUCUUUUCUGUGUGAGCAAUGCUUUUUGUGUGAAUAAUGCAGGAAGAGAGAUAUUAGCACAGGAAUAAGCCACGGCUAACUCCGUGCCAGCAGCCGCGGUAACACGGGGGUGGCAAGCGUUGUCCGGAAUCACUAGGCGUAAAGGGCAGGUAGGCGGAAAUGUAAGUCAGAUGUCAAAGACCGAAGCUCAACUUCGGGUCGGCAUUUGAUACUGUGUUUCUUGAAUCAGUUGGGAGAAGAUGGAAUUCCAGGUGUAGCGGUGGAAUGCGCAGAUAUCUGGAGGAACACCAAUAGCGAAGGCAAUCUUCUACGACAUGAUUGACGCUAAACUACGAAGGUGCGGGGAUCAAACA